UCUACGGAUUUAAUUUAGAAUUAUUUUGCAAUCUAUCGAUAAUUGCAAGCGAGUAUCGAGUAGAUGCAUAAACGCGCAUUACAUAUUACGGACUUAGAAUUUCCAAGACACAAGGAUUUUAUUCAUAUAUCCACCACAACUUUUACAACCUAUCUAUCAAUUACCAAACAAUUUCCUAGCCCCAAUUCGAAAACAUCAUCUGCUAAACAAAGAAAGAAAAGGCAAAAGAGAAAAAAAAAUGGGAGGGGGAGGGGGCGCAUGUGGCUGAAACAGCCCAGCUGCCAGCUGCCAGCCGCCCAACUCCACCAAUUCCCUUCUCCCUACACCCUACCACCUCUUCCUUAGGUUGCUCCAGCAGCCCCACUCCUCCAAUCACCUUCACCCUACCCUAUACCUUGUCUCUAGCAUGCUCAAGUAUGCAGCCAACAUCUCCCUCUAUUUGCUUCAACUCCAGCCAAGAACACACCAUUUUCUUCAUCCUCUACAUUCUUCAUUCAAAGAUUUCAAGAAUAGCAGAGAUCUUCAAUCCUUGCUUUGCUCUGCCAGAAAAUUUUCAAGGUUACUCGUUCAUUCAAAUACUACGCAGCAACAUACAACCAACCAACCAAGCAAAACAUUCAAGGUAUUAUAGUAUGCCAUUCCUUCAAUGUACCCACAUCCAUACCAACAGCAUAUCAGUUUCAAAUGAUAGAUGACCAUAAGCUUGAUAAACUUAGCAAAGUUACAUACUCUAUAACAAUUAGAGUCGGAUAAUUUCCUGUUGUAUUCAUGUCUAUAGAACUCAUAGCAACCCACAUAUGCGAAUGAUGAUUUAUGGCAUUUCACAGCAAAGCUAUGAUUCAUACAUUAGAACAGCAAAUUAUGAGAACCCCCACCCUUAACAACUAGAAAUUUAAGUAGAAGAAGAAUGAGAGUAGAUAACUUAGCUUAUAGAAGAGGGGCCGACUGCCCUGUCCAGUCGAGCCCUAGGAAUCGGUGAGGACGACGGAGGCGACGGGCCUUCACCUCCCGUCGGGAGGAAUGCAGCAGCAAUGGCAAAAUCGAGAGUGGGCUGAGGGGACUAGCGCUCGACCAGUAGUGAGUUCAGAGAGGAGAGGUCGACUCUCAUCGGAAUUUCGGAGACCAUGGCGAUGAGCAGCCGACGGCCUGACGACCAGCGGCCGCCGCCGCGAGUGCAGCGGCGCGGCGAAGCCGGCCUUCCAGAUGCAGCGGAGGCGGUAUUCUUUCCUCUGGCAGAAAUUAGGGCUUCUUCGUUCCUUCAAUAGAUUCGAGGGAGAGAAGAACGAUUGAAGCCGAAAGGAGAUGGGCGAAGGGAGCGUCCGAGUCAGGCAGGGCGAAGACCAGCGACCGUUCGCCGUUCUUCCAUAGGCGGCGGCGGCGGCGAUUUCUGAUUUUGGGAGAGAAUAGGACCCCUCAGUUUAUCUUCUUCGGUGGACUUUUGAGAGAGAAAUUGAGGGAGGAAGGACGACAGAAGAAGGAGGGGCGGCCUCACCCGCCGGCAACGGAUGUUCGCCGGAUUUCGAAAGUGGUGGUGGCGGAUUCAGGUGAUGGAGGAAUUAGGGCUCACCCUAUUUGCCUUGAGCAUCUAUUAUCAGAGAGGGGCGUCUGCUUUGAGAAGAGAGGGAGAAGAGGCGAAGCGCCGACUCGCCAGGUCGCGGAGCGGCGGCGGCGGCAGGCGCCUCGGCUGAGGCCGGAUCGAGAGGGAGAGGGAGAGAGGGGGAGAGGGCCGAAGGGAGUAUCUGAUUGAGAGAAAGAGAGAGACGAGUUGGUGGUGAAUAAGAAGAGUUGGGCCAUUUCCUUGGGCCUCACCAUUUUAUUUGAUUCUGGACCCAGAUUCAAUUAUUUUUCUUCUUUUGGGCUGAAAGUUGGGCUUUGUUUUAUUUUUAUUUUUACUUCUUUUGAAUUGGGCUAAGUUUAAUUAUCUAACUUGGGCCCAGAAUUAAUUAUUUCAGUUGGGCUGCUAAUAUUUUAUUUGGGCCCUGAUUCAUUUAAUUAUUUGAGUCCAAUAAUCUCAUUUCAAUUGGGCCUUGUAUUUUAAUUAUUCAACCCAAAUUUUAUUA